GUCAAUCAAAAUGUACUCCUUUGUGAUUCCCGUCAAAGUGACAGAUUCUGAGCUGAGUGAUUACUGUAAGAAGGAGUCAUUACCCGUCCACAUUCUGUACCUGCACCUACAGAUGUCCAUGACAGUUUACUACCUGGCCCACUAUGAGCAGCUCUCUCUGGACACAUACGAGUACAUCGACUGUGGAUCAAACAGCACCAUACCGCACAGUGUGCUACCUCCACCUCCCUGAUGGAUGGAUGGAAGGAUGGAUGGACAGAUGGACAGAGGAACAGAUGAACAGAGACAAUGUUUAUGAAGUGGAAUAGUUGGCAGUGUAAUGUGGUUUUUUUCUUUUGUUUUUCAUGAACUGUAUCACCAAAAUGUUGGAUAAAACCAUCAUAUGUGAUUCCUGGUUGGUGUUCCUCAUGGUUGGAUGGAUGGAUGGAUGGAUGGAUGGAUGAGGACGCACCUUCCUGUGUCUGAAGGAAGAAAGUGUAGCUAUCACUCUCAUCCUCGCCACCUUGAUGGUUUUGGACAAUAGAUGUUGAGAAGGAGCCUAAACAUACACUGACAGUCUUAACGUUGGUGCAGUGAUGCUAUCUGUAUCAGUGAAGACCUGAUUAUACUCUGAUUUAAGAUCACAUGAUGUUACUGAAAGUCCAGAUAGUCAUGUAACCAUGUUGUGAUAUUUUUGUGCUGGUGUAGAUUUUGACCACUGUCAAUGUUCAAUACAUUCAAAUGCAUCUCAUUUUACUCA